CCGUCGGCCCCCCGCGACGCUAGGUCGAAAAUCCCGCCAGGGCCGGAAGGCAGCAACGGUAUCGAUCGACGCGGGCGCCGGGGCAAGCCGG
rnacentral:SRP_RNA from 1 species